rnacentral:rRNA from 1 species
GACGAACGCUGGCGGCGUGCCUAAUACAUGCAAGUCGAACGCUUCUUUUUCACCGAACUUCGGUUCAUCGAAAAAGAGGAGUGGCGAACGGGUGAGUAACACGCGGGUAACCUGCCCAUCAGAAGGGGAUAACACUUGGAAACAGGUGCUAAUACCGUAUAAUGCUUUUUCUCGCAUGAGAGCAAGCUGAAAGGCGCUUUUGCGUCACUGAUGGAUGGACCCGCGGUGCAUUAGCUAGUUGGUGAGGUAACGGCUCACCAAGGCCACGAUGCAUAGCCGACCUGAGAGGGUGAUCGGCCACACUGGGACUGAGACACGGCCCAGACUCCUACGGGAGGCAGCAGUAGGGAAUCUUCGGCAAUGGACGAAAGUCUGACCGAGCAACGCCGCGUGAGUGAAGAAGGUUUUCGGAUCGUAAAACUCUGUUGUUAGAGAAGAACAAGGAUGAGAGUAAAAUGUUCAUCCCUUGACGGUAUCUACCAGAAAGCC